CUCAGAAGUGGAUUGCCACAGCAACCUGCUUUCUGUACACUACUAUUGGCAGUGCCGUUUCUGCCCCCACGUAAAGCGAAUGAAACGGACUCCCACUCACUCUUGAAUCACCUCCCAUGCUUGCUUGGUGAGAACCGCCGGUAUGGAGACCGUUCCGUCUGAGAUCAAGAGCAACGCCACCGCAUUCUCCUUCUGCUGGUGUGAACUCGGCAGCUCGAUGGCCUGCAAGGAGAGGAGACCCACAUACGCAAGAUGGAGAUGCUAUGAAAGGGGCAACAUUGGCUCAGGAGCUGCAAAGUUGAAUCUGAAAAGAGCCCAUGAGACUGAUGGAAUCAGCUCACCAUGCUCACAGCAAAAAGGUAGAACUUAAUUAUUAAACCAAUGACUAUGCCUACACUUACAAUGCCUACAAGUCUCGCGCAGUUCACGUCAACAACCAGGCAUGCUCAGGCAGAUCAGAAACAUUUUUUAAAUGUCAUUGUGACAGCAACAUUCAAUGGGCAGAUUUGCAGGGGCGCAUCAUUCUUGCCAUGUUUCAUACCGGGAGAGAAGUAUGGGAACACUCUCUCAGUAAAUGUGUCUUUAAAAGUGUAAAUGAGUGACAUGUCACUGGAGUCGAAGAAGGACACCUGCCCCCUGUCGUAGUCCAGCUGCACCCUGAUGCUCUGGGGUUUCUUCUCCAGGUUGAUGUUAGCAAAUCCUGCUGCUCUGUACGUAUCACCAUUCCUCAGCAAAAUGACCCAGAAUCCUCUCUGUGAGUUGUAUGUUAGAUCGCCCUUCCUGACGAUGGACUCUUUCACCACUCCGACAGUCCAUUUAGGUUUAUUCCCAACCUUCACCUCCCAACUGUGUUUUCCUGAGGUAAACCCUUCAGAUCCCAGCACACCCAGACAGGUGUCAAACCUCUCUGGGUUGUUAGGACAUUUCUGCUGUGUACCUGUGUCUCUCACAGUGGCCAGAUCAUCAGAGAGAGAGAGAUGGCCAAAUGCAGUAUUGGGGUCCAGCAUCACAGGAGCUGAAAUAUCAAGAAGAGAGAUAUUUAAAGGCUGAAAGAAGGGGCACAUUUCACAUACUCAUUUUCACAUACAUAUUCAGAUUAUGUUACACACACAUAUAAUACACUGCUCAAAAACAUUAAGGGAACACUUAAGGGACACAUCUUAAUGAACGAUUUAUUCAAGUUGAAAAUCUUUACUGAUGUACAUUGUAUAAAUGUUUUGAGAACAAGAUGAUGUAACAAUGGUCAAAGGAAACCAAAAUCAUCAACCCAUUGAGGGCUGGAUUCAAUAUGACACCGAAAAGUUAAAAAAAUUGAAAUUACUGGCUGAUCCAACUUGUUUGAAUUUUAUCACUGCGACUCAGAAUGUGACUCAGUAGUGUGUAUUGCCCCCGCGUGCCUGUACGCACUCCCAACAAGUUCUGGGCAUGCUCCUGAUGAGUCGGCGGAUGGUGUCCAGGGGGAUCUCCUCCCAGACCUGGAUCAGGGCAUCAGUGAGCUCCUGGACAGUUUGUGGCGGUACUUGGCGAUGUCAGAUGCACUGAUACAUAACAUCCCAUUGGUGCUGAAUUGGAUUUAGGUCAGGGGAAUGUGAGGGCCAGUCAAUGGCAUCAAUGCCUUCCUCAUCCAGAAACUGCCUACAUCGUCCUGCACCAGGAGGAACCCAGGGCCCACUACACCAGCGUACGGUCUGACAAUGGGUCUGAGUAUUUCAUCCAGGUACCUAACAGCAGUCAGGGUACCAUUGGCUAUGACAUGGAGGUCUGUGUGACCCUCCAAGGAUAUGCCUCCCCAGACCAUCAAUGACCCACCGCCAAACUGGCCAUGCUGGAUGAUGUUACAGGCAGCAUAACAUUCACCAUGGCGUCUCCAGACUCUUUCAGGCCUGUCACAUGUGCUCAGUGUGAACCUGCUCUCAUCUGUGAAGAGAACAGGGCGCCAAUGGCGGACCUGCCAAUUCUGGUGGUCUCUCGCAAAAGCCAAUCGAGCUGCACUGUGCUGGUCUGUGAGCACAGGUCCCACUAGAGGAUGUCGGGCCCUCAUGCUACAGUUUGGUCAGAAACAUGCACACCAGUAGCCUGGAGGUCAUUUUGUGGGGCUCUGGCAGUGCUCCUUCUCGCACAAAAGGAGCAGAUACCGGUCCUGCUGCUGGGUUGAUGCCCUUAUACGGCCCUGUCCAGCUCUCCUUGUGUAACGGUCGGUCUCCUGGUAUCUCCUCCAUGCUUUUGAGACUGUACUGGGAGACCCAGCAAACCUUGCGACUGCGCAUAUGUAUGUGCCGUCCUGGAGGAGCUGGACUACCCGUGCUAGCUGAUUGGGCUGCAGGUACCGCCUCAUACCAGCAGUAACAAGGACACUAGCAGAACACAAAACUAAAGAAGAAUCAGUUAGGAAGGAUAAGGAGAGGGCAAUUGUCUGUGGCCACCACAUGCAAAACCAUUACCUUUUUAGGGGUUGUCUUGCUUUUGCAUCUUCAUUGCACCUGUUGUCACUUUCAUUUGCACCAAAGCAGGUGAAAUUGAUUCACAAUCACUGUUUAACUGACUUGGUGUUACACUGUGAUGAUUAAGUGUUCCUUUACUUCUUUUGAGCAGUGCAUAUAAUUGCUAUGGAUUUGAAUAUAGUGCAGUUAUAAAGAUUUAGGAAAAAAGAACACUUCAUAGCAUAUGUGAUGCAUACAACUGACACAUGCUAAUAAAACACAUUAUUAAUGAGGUUUUAAAAUGUAUGUUAAUUCCAGGUUUGCAUGUGUUCUGAUAUUACAUUGAGAGGAGUUCAGUGCAGCCCUCGGGUUCUUCCUAAUCUUGGAGGGAGCUGAGACUGGAUGACUCUUUACUGUUUAUCUUUAGCACCAUUUCAAUAUAAUGCCUGUUUCUUCAGGUUCAUGUGUUCAUUAAAUGUUUGUAAACCAAAAACAUGAUUUCAGCAUCUGGCCCAGAUACUCACUGUACUGCACCAUCCCCAGCAUCUUCUGCCAGACUGUGAACUUUAGGUUGCCCAGGUGUUUGACCACAUCUAUCAGCGACCCUGAAAGCAGCCUCUGAGCCUGCAGUGUGCACUGGGCUCUGUAACGACAGGGAGCAGUCAGUCAAGCUCAGGACCUGAAGAGACUUAAAAAUAUAAGACACAAUGAGUGCAGUUAGUCUGGCCUCCUCUUCCUCUCGCAAGAACUGGUGGAGCUUCUCAAACUCUGCCUUUAUCUGCCUCUCUGUGUGCUGGGCUUGACCCUGCAAUUCAAACACACUGUUUUAAAUCUGAAAGGUGAAACUCUGCUUUGUUAUUCAUGUAUGUCAGUCAGUUUAUCCAUGUCACCUACAACAUUAACCAACAGUAAUGUUUUAGCAUUUUUGCGUGGCUAACAAUUGGUUUACUCACCCUGAUAUGUUCUGCUGUUUUCCUACAUUCUUGUUCAACCUCAGUAAACGUCUUCAGUUUUUCUUUAAUAAGAUUAAGUGCAGGCUUGAGUUCCUCCUGGGUGAACAUGGACCAAUGAUCACUUAUCACAAAUGGCACAUUAUUACCCCUGAUACAAUACAAGUGAGGGUCAGUGUAACUUUGUAAGUGUAAGUACAUGGGAAAUGUAGCAGGGACAAUAUACCUGCUACCACUUGAGAAAAGAUCAAAGGAAUAUACAUACUUAUAGUGUAGUGCAUCAUAACAUUAUAUGAUAUUAUGCAUUUUCAGUACAGUUUUUUCUGCAUAUAGGACUACCAAACAACUAUUUUACUGGGUUAUACUUUCAUAGCCAACUGGACAACAUUUUAAAGCACUCAUAA